GAAAAUUUUAAUUCCUAGAAGGUCAGCAUUAUCAUACCAUUCACAAUUAUAUACAGCAUAAAAAGCCUGCAAAUACGUAUCAUUGACAUGGCCAGAAAAACAACUAUACAAGAUUUCUGAUUUCCGAUUUUCGAUAUCUGUGUGGUUAGCAUAAGCAGGUAUACUUCAGCUGUUUCAUUAAAAUGCUUAACCAGAAAGCAUCUUCAUCAC
rnacentral:misc_RNA from 1 species